rnacentral:rRNA from 1 species
UACGUAGGGGGCAAGCGUUGUCCGGAUUUAUUGGGCGUAAAGAGCGUGUAGGCGGCCAGGUAGGUCCGCUGUGAAAACUCGAGGCUCAACCUCGAGACUGUCGGCGGAAACCAUCGUGGCUAGAGUCCGGAAGAGGAAAGUGGAAUUCCGGUGUAGCGGUGAAAUGCGCAGAAUAUCAGGAAGAACACCCGUGGCUAAGGCGGUUCUCUAGUACGGUACUGACGCUGAGACGCGAAAGCGUGGGUAGCAAACAGG